AGGGCAGGCCUUUCAGGCAUCCUCUCCUAAAACUUUCCGGCCGGUCCCUGCGGGGGUCGGCCAUUUUUUUGCCCGUC
rnacentral:sRNA from 1 species